rnacentral:rRNA from 1 species
UACAGAGGUCCCAAGCGUUGUUCGGAUUCAUUGGGCGUAAAGGGUGCGUAGGUGGCGUCGUAAGUCGGGUGUGAAAUCUCGGGGCUUAACUCCGAAACUGCAUUCGAUACUGCGGUGCUUGAGGACUGGAGAGGAGACUGGAAUUUACGGUGUAGCAGUGAAAUGCGUAGAGAUCGUAAGGAAGACCAGUGGCGAAGGCGGGUCUCUGGACAGUUCCUGACACUGAGGCACGAAGGCCAAGGGAGCAAACGGG